GCAGGGUGUGGUGGUGCGUUCCUGUAGUCCCAGCUACACAGGAGGCUGAGGUGGGAGGAUCGCUUGAGCCCAGGAGUUCUGGGCUGUACUGCGCUAUGCUGAUUGCGUUCCACACUAAGUUCGGAUCAAUAUGGUGACCUCCAGGGAGUGGGGGACCACCAGGCUGCCUAAGGAGGGGUGAACUGGCCCGGGUCGGAAAUGGAGCAGGUCAGAACUCUGGUGCUGAUCAGUAGUGGGAUCAGGCCUGUGACUAGCCACUGCACUCCAGCCUGGGCAACAUAGCGAGACCCCGUCUCU
rnacentral:SRP_RNA from 1 species